rnacentral:rRNA from 1 species
UACGUAGGGGGCAAGCGUUGUCCGGAAUCAUUGGGCGUAAAGCGCGUGUAGGCGGCUUGGUAAGUCCGCUCUGAAAGCCCGGGGCUCAACCCCGGGAGGCGGGUGGAUACUGUCAAGCUCGAGUCCGGAAGAGGCGAGUGGAAUUCCUGGUGUAGCGGUGAAAUGCGCAGAUAUCGGGAGGAACACCAAUGGCGAAAGCAGCUCUCUGGGACGGUACUGACGCUGAGACGCGAAAGCGUGGGGAGCGAACAGG